AUGCCUCGUCAUCUAAUUAGUGACGCGCAUGAAUGGAUUAACGAGAUCCCUACUGUCCCUAUCUACUAUCUAGCGAAACCACAGCCAAGGGAACGGGCUUGGAAUAAUUAGCGGGGAAAGAAGACCCUGUUGAGCUUGACUCUAGUCUGGCAGUGUAAGGAGACAUAAGAGGUGUAGCAUAAGUGGGAGAUAUAUUGGUUUCGGCUAAAUAUAUCAAAAAUGAAAUACCACUACUCUUAUUGUUUCCUUACUUACUUGAUAAAAUGGAACGUGUAUCAUUCACUUAGCCAUUACAUGGAUAUAUUUAUAUAUUUUAUGGUAUUUUGUUUUGAUGCGAGCUUCUUGUUUAAAGUACCAAGAGUUUGUUAUAUACACCAAACAAAUAUCAAUUAAAUUUACUUAUUAUUAAUAAUGAUUUGUUAAAUUAUAAUUGAAUUUGGUAUAACUAUUAUACUUAGGUAUGAUCCAAUUCAAGGACAUUGCCAGGUGGGGAGUUUGACUGGGGCGGUACAUCUCUCAAAUAAUAACGGAGGUGUCCCAAGGCCAGCUCAGUGCGGACAGAAACCACACAUAGAGCAAAAGGGCAAAUGCUGACUUGAUCUCGGUGUUCAGUACAUACAGAGACAGCAAAAGCUCGGCCUAUCGAUCCUUUUGGUUUAAAGAGUUUUUAACAAGAGGUGUCAGAAAAGUUACCACAGGGAUAACUGGCU
rnacentral:rRNA from 1 species